AUGAAAAUAAGGGGAGAGACUGCAAAGUGCAGCGCCGAAGGAGCAAGCUUUGAAACAAAGUGAAUCUCUCAGGCAAAAAGACUUUUAUUUGACG
rnacentral:ncRNA from 12 species